rnacentral:lncRNA from 1 species
ACUUAACUUUAAAAUGUUCAUUUCAUUCAUCCUUAAUAAGAUGAUCCAUAGCCACACAAACACUUAUUUCAGAUCAUAAAUUUCAAAAGUCUUUCUUUCUUUCUUAAACUCUAUGUCGAGUCAAACUACAUCCAGUAAAUUGGGACGGAGGGAGGGAGUAGCUACUCCUCAUAACCAAACAACGGAUCAACGAAAUCCCAAAUUCUAUCCCGGAUUAUGUAUCAAAACAACCCCUUAAAGUCAACAUCAACAACAAACCAAUUUGUUAAUGGAAAAAUGUUUUUUUCUUCUUAAUUGGGACAUAGAUAGCCGAAACGGAGAGAGGAUUACAAUGUACUUAAUCGAACCCUCACCAACAAGGUGAAAGUUCAAAUACCAACUAACUAAGCUACAACGAUUCCCAACAAAAAAAAAUGGUUCCAUAAGGUCAAAAUUCAAACUUUAUACAAAAAA